AGGGGGUAGCAGGGGAGUGGUUCUCUGCCUGCGCCUGAUGGAACCUAGGCUCGCUAUUGAAAUAUUUGAAGAAACUCUCUGCCCUGCCCAUUACCGUAGACAUUCUUGCGGAGACUGGAGUUGGGAAAACGGUGAACAGCUUGCGAAAACACGAGCACGUCGGAAACUU
rnacentral:lncRNA from 1 species